rnacentral:rRNA from 1 species
GACGAACGCUGGCGGCGUGCUUAACACAUGCAAGUCGAACGGUAAGGCCCUCCGGGGUACACGAGUGGCGAACGGGUGAGUAACACGUGGGUGAUCUGCCCUGCACUUCGGGAUUAGCCUGGGAAACUGGGUCUAAUACCGGAUAGGACCACUGCCUGCAUGGGUGGUGGUGGAAAGCUUUUGCGGUGUGGGAUGGGCCCGCGGCCUAUCAGCUUGUUGGUGGGGUGAUGGCCUACCAAGGCGACGACGGGUAGCCGGCCUGAGAGGGUGACCGGCCACACUGGGACUGAGAUACGGCCCAGACUCCUACGGGAGGCAGCAGUGGGCAAUAUUGCACAAUGGGCGCAAGCCUGAUGCAGCGACGCCGCGUGGGGGAUGACGGCCUUCGGGUUGUAAACCUCUUUCAGCACCGACGAAGCGCAAGUGACGGUAGGUGCAGAAGAAGGACCGGCCAACUACGUGCCAGCCGCCGCAGUAA